rnacentral:lncRNA from 1 species
AUUCAAUCCAUGUUUAUGAAGAAGUGCUAACCAGUUUAAACCAAUUUUCUGGUACGGCUUGAGUUCCAAACUCUGAUUCAGAACGGAGGGUUGCUCUAUGUUCCACCUGCAUCCUCCAUCUUCUGUAAUCUUGGUUACUUGUUUUGUCAGUUUAUUUGAAAUUUCUUCACAUUUAUUCAUGAGCUUGAGAACCACAUCUCUCUCCUUCAGCAGGGUCUUGCAGUUCCACACAAUGUCUUCUGACAAGCCAGCAGUCUUAGUUAUUUUUGAAAGCAGAGCUUCCCAACUAUUAAAGGGCCGGAGUGCUAUUAUCUUCUGAACCUUUUUCUCAGAACACUGGGGGAUCAUAGUGAGUUCACUUGGGGAAGCAUCCUGCAGAAAGCUAAGGAUUUUACUUUUGUA